GCCCGGAUGGUGAAAUUGGCAAACACGCAAGAUUCAGGUUCUUGUGUCCGCUAGGACUUGCGGGUUCAAGUCCCGCUUCGGGCA
rnacentral:tRNA from 1 species